AACGAACGCUGGCGGCAGGCUUAACACAUGCAAGUGGAACGGACGUAGCAAUACGUCAGUGGCAGACGGGUGAGUAACGCGUGGGAAUAUGCCCUUUAGUUCGGAAUAACUCAGGGAAACUUGAGCUAAUACCGGAUAAGCCCGAUAGGGGAAAGAUUUAUCGCUGAAGGAGUAGCCCGCGUCUGAUUAGCUAGUUGGUGAGGUAAUGGCUCACCAAGGCGACGAUCAGUAGCUGGUCUGAGAGGAUGAUCAGCCACACUGGGACUGAGACACGGCCCAGACUCCUACGGGAGGCAGCAGUGGGGAAUAUUGGACAAUGGGGGCAACCCUGAUCCAGCCAUGCCGCGUGAGUGAUGAAGGCCUUAGGGUUGUAAAACUCUUUUAUCCGGGAAGAUAAUGACUGUACCGGAAGAAUAAGCCCCGGCUAACUUCGUGCCAGCAGCCGCGGUAAAAC
rnacentral:rRNA from 1 species